rnacentral:rRNA from 1 species
UACGUAGGGGGCAAGCGUUGUCCGGAAUUAUUGGGCGUAAAGAGCGCGUAGGCGGUCCGAUAAGUCGGCUGUGAAAGUCCAGGGCUCAACCCUGGAAAGCCGGCCGAUACUGUCGGACUAGAGUCCGGAAGAGGCAAGUGGAAUUCCCGGUGUAGCGGUGAAAUGCGCAGAUAUCAGGAAGAACACCCGUGGCGAAAGCGGCUCUCUGGAACGGUACUGACGCUGAGACGCGAAAGCGUGGGGAGCGAACAGG